CAAAGGCUUGGUCCUGACUUUUCUAUCAGCUCUAGCUAAGUUUACACAUGCCAGCCUCCGCGCCCCCGUGAGGAUGCCCUGUCCGUCCCAAAUCGGAACUAAGGAGCGGGUAUCAGGCACAUUCUUAUAGCCCACGACACCUUGCUUAGCCACACCCCCAAGGGAUUCAGCAGUGAUAAACAUUAAGCCAUAAGUGAAAGCUUGACUUAACUAUUGCCAAGAGGGCCGGUAAACCUCGUGCCAGCCACCGCGGUUAUACGAGGAGCCCAAGUUGAUAGCCUCCGGCGUAAAGCGUGGUUAAGAUAAAAAUUAAAGUAAAGCAGAACGCAAACCAAGCUGUUAUACGCAUUUGAAAGUAGAAGCCCAAUUACGAAAGUAGCUUUAUAUGACUGACCCCACGAAAGCCAGGGCACAAACUGGGAUUAGAUACCCCACUAUGCCUGGCCCUAAAAAUUGAUAGUUUAUUACAUCCACUAUCCGCCCGGGAACUACGAGCAAAACUUGAAACCCAAAGGACUUGGCGGUGCUUUAGACCCAACUAGAGGAGCCUGUCCUAGAACCGAUAAUCCCCGUUCAACCUUACCUUUUCUUGCAACUUCCGCCUAUAUACCGCCGUCGUAAGCUUACCCUGUGAAGGUGCCCAUAGUGAGCAAAGAUAGUAUCACCCCAUACGUCAGGUCGAGGUGUAGCUUAUGUAAAGGAAAGAGAUGGGCUACAUUUACUAUCAGUAGUAAAUUACGAAUGAUGCCCUGAAACCCCGCAUCUGAAGGUGGAUUUAGUAGUAAGUAAAAAACAGUGUGUUUUACUGAAACUUGGCUCUGAAGCGUGCACACACCGCCCGUCACUCUCCCCAUAAAAACUUUUUGACUUAAACUAUAAAACCUAAAACACUAAGGGGAGACAAGUCGUAACAUGGUAAGUGUACCGGAAGGUGCACUUGGAUCAUUAAGAGUACAACUGGACUAAUAUACAAGAAAACUCCGUGCAAACGGGCUACUCUUUAGAUACAUAAUAUUUACUAUUAUAGACUUGUAAGAGUUAAGAGAAACCUCUUUUUUUACUACACACUCAACACUUAGAUUAAGCAUCAACCCAAAACAGAGGCAUAUAGUAGAACACAGAGAGUACGUCUUGCUGUCAGCAAGGAGAUUGUCCGUGCAAACCGGACUAUGCCUAUUUAGACCCC
rnacentral:ncRNA from 1 species